rnacentral:rRNA from 1 species
UACGAAGGGGGCUAGCGUUGUUCGGAAUUACUGGGCGUAAAGCGCACGUAGGCGGAUUUGUUAGUCAGGGGUGAAAUCCCGGGGCUCAACCUCGGAACUGCCUUUGAUACUGCAAGUCUCGAGUCCGGAAGAGGUGAGUGGAAUUCCUAGUGUAGAGGUGAAAUUCGUAGAUAUUAGGAAGAACACCAGUGGCGAAGGCGGCUCACUGGUCCGGUACUGACGCUGAGGAGCGAAAGCGUGGGGAGCGAACAGG